UAUGUUUCUAAUGUGCGUGUCAAAUAAUUACCUGUUAAACAGACUGCCAAUCUGGAUGAAGCCAAUGCUUCCAAAGAAGAUGAAAUAAAAGCUUUGGUGAUACAGUCCUGCCAUGAAUACGAUCCAAUCAAUUCCAUGAAGAAACCCUUGGGUCCACCUCCACCAUCAUAUACUUGCUUUCGUUGCGGGAAACCUGGCCACUACAUAAAGAACUGCCUGACAAAUGGGGACAAAAAUUUUGAGUCUGUUCCCAGAAUUAAAAAGAGCACAGGAAUUCCACAGAGUUUCAUGAUAGAGAUGAAAGAUGCCAAUACAAAGGGUGCUAUGCUGACAAGCUCUGGAAAAUAUGCAAUGCCAACUAUUAAUGCGUAAGUAAGGAACUAAGU